ensembl:lncRNA
CCCACAUCCACGCUCACGCAGAAACGCACAUCCAAGUGAUGUACACACAUACACACACAUUCCACCGGUGACUCUGUAGUCAUCGCCUUGCUUCCAGACACCGACGUGCUUUUGGAUUUAGCAGCCGGUGCCUCCUCUCAGCGAUGGUGUAAGGAGCUGCCAGAGGCAACUGGAGUUAAUGUGAGACCACUUAUACUGAGAUGUUAGUCCCUUCCAAUUAGCAUCAACUCUACAAGGAUGGGGAUUUAAAGGAGAGUCUGUAGCUCUCUGCUCAGGGACAGUCUUCUGCAGCCCUUCUGUGAUCACAGGCCUACCUGGCAUUUCUCAUCCAUAUCCUUCUUCUUUCCAUUCACCCAUCUUUCCCCGUCAUGAAAGGCCUGUCCAGUAGCCGGGGUCACCAUCAUGUGGUCUCCUAUGAACCAUCAUAUGAUCCACUGGGUCACCAUGUUGACCGCAAGCCAUAUUUGAUCAGUCAGAUGGACAUGCCUGUGCCCAUUCCCAUGCCACAUCCAGCUGAGCUGCCCUACUACAAUGCUCAGCGUACCUCAUACCCCUCUGACAGCAACAGCAUCGUCCCAUAUGGAACCUUC